CUGUGUGUGUCUGUUACUGAGUGUGUUUGAUGUCUGUUAGUGAGUGUGUGUUUGUCAGUGAAAGUGUAUGUUUUGUGAGUGUGUAUGUAUGUCUGUCACUGAGUGUGUCUCUGUCAGUAAAUGUGUGUGUCUGUUAGCUAGUGUGUAUGCGUCUGUUCGUGAGAGUGUGUGUGUGUGUCUUCAGCAUUUACCUUUCUCCAGCGUCGGACUCCCCAGUGUCCGCCUCUCAGCUCCGAAAUGCACAUGCGCGGCAAGAGGCGCGCGCGCAUUUAAACCGCCCAUAGGAAAGCAUUACUCAAU
rnacentral:lncRNA from 1 species